rnacentral:misc_RNA from 1 species
CGCACAUUGCGCCUUCUGGUAUUCCGGGAGGCAUGCCUGUUCGAGCGUCAUCAAACACAUCCUCAAGCACGUUUGCUUGGUACUGGAGGAAGAUGUCUGCAUCUCCUCUCAAAUCCCUCAGCGGAAACUACUGCAGUCUCAGGUGUCAUAAGAUUACCUUUCGCUUGAUAACUGCUGCUAGGUUCUUGCUGUGAAGAGCCCCCCAGCUAUUCUUUUAAGUUUGACCUCGAAUCAGGUAGGGAUACCCGCUGAACUUAA